rnacentral:lncRNA from 1 species
CCAGCGCCGACCUCCGAUCCAGCACCGACCGUCGAUCCAGCGCCGACCAUGGUGGAUGCACCGACUGUCCCUGAGCUCUUCCCGAUCGAAGAGAUCGACUCUGAAGGAUGAUCAGGGUCUUAUCAUUUUUUGUUUUGCUUUACAUACUUGUAACCGGGCUUCGGCCCAAUUUUGUAGACUUGAAUAUACUUAAGCAUAUUUUCAAUUUCAUUUUCAGCUUCUUUCCUUCGCCUGUCAGGAUGUGCUCUAACUUAGAGUCGCAAAGUCGUAGAGUCGUAGACCCGACGUACCACAUUAGGUCACUUAGCGACAUCCCAAGUCGUUAGUCGGGGUAGUCGGCAACAUACGCCAUAGGAAAGGCAAGGCGAACUUCGAUCACGAAUCGUCCGUUCGACGGUCAUAGUGUGCGUCCGUCGGAGGCCUGAGCCGAACGUC